UACAGAGGUCUCAAGCGUUGUUCGGAUUCAUUGGGCGUAAAGGGUGCGUAGGCGGCGUGGUAAGUCGGGUGUGAAAUCUCGGAGCUUAACUCCGAAACUGCAUUCGAUACUGCCGUGCUUGAGGACUGGAGAGGAGGCUGGAAUUUACGGUGUAGCGGUGAAAUGCGUAGAUAUCGUAAGGAAGACCAGUGGCGAAGGCGGGUCUCUGGACAGUUCCUGACGCUGAGGCACGAAGGCCAGGGGAGCAAACGGG
rnacentral:rRNA from 1 species